ACAUGCAGUCGAGCGGAACGAAGAGGUGCUUGCACCUCUGGCGUCGAGCGGCGGACGGGUGAGUAAUGCUUGGGAAUAUGCCUUAUGGUGGGGGACAACAGUUGGAAACGACUGCUAAUACCGCAUGAUGUCUACGGACCAAAGUGGGGGACCUUCGGGCCUCACGCCAUAAGAUUAGCCCAAGUGGGAUUAGCUAGUUGGUGAGGUAAUGGCUCACCAAGGCGACGAUCCCUAGCUGGUUUGAGAGGAUGAUCAGCCACACUGGGACUGAGACACGGCCCAGACUCCUACGGGAGGCAGCAGUGGGGAAUAUUGCACAAUGGGCGCAAGCCUGAUGCAGCCAUGCCGCGUGUGUGAAGAAGGCCUUCGGGUUGUAAAGCACUUUCAGUAAGGAGGAAAGGUUAAGUGUUAAUAGCACUUAGCUGUGACGUUACUUACAGAAGAAGCACCGGCUAACUCCGUGCCAGCAGCCGCGGUAAUACGGAGGGUGCGAGCGUUAAUCGGAAUUACUGGGCGUAAAGCGUACGC
rnacentral:rRNA from 1 species